GAUGAACGCUGGCGGCGUGCCUAAUACAUGCAAGUCGAGCGAACGGACGAGAAGCUUGCUUCUCUGAUGUUAGCGGCGGACGGGUGAGUAACACGUGGAUAACCUACCUAUAAGACUUGGAUAACUUCGGGAAACCGGAGCUAAUACCGGAUAAUAUUUUGAACCGCAUGGUUCAAAAGUGAAAGACGGUCUUGCUGUCACUUAUAGAUUGAUCCGCGCUGCAUUAGCUAGUUGGUAAGGUAACGGCUUACCAAGGCAACGAUGCAUAGCCGACCUGAGAGGGUGAUCGGCCACACUGGAACUGAGACACGGUCCAGACUCCUACGGGAGGCAGCAGUAGGGAAUCUUCCGCAAUGGGCGAAAGCCUGACGGAGCAACGCCGCGUGAGUGAUGAAGGUCUUAGGAUCGUAAAACUCUGUUAUUAGGGAAGAACAUAUGUGUAAGUAACUGUGCACAUCUUGACGGUACCUAAUCAGAAAGCCACGGCUAACUACGUG
rnacentral:rRNA from 1 species